UACAGAGUAAACCGGAACUUCUCCCCGGCCCCUGUCAUUCAUUCAAGGAACAGAAGAUGUUUUAAAAUAUUUAUUCUAGUAAGUCAACUGAAUUUCUAGAGUACCAAUUUCUUUAGAUUCAAGGUAUUAAAUAAUUCUAGACCACUUUACAGAAAGGAGAUACUAUAAUAACUACUUUUUGGAUCUGAAAAUAGGAACAUGAAGCUGUCAGAUUAAAUGAAAACUUCUAAGGCCUUUCAGAAGUGUCUCGAAGUCUCCAAACAACUGCAUCCAGCUACUCAUCAUUAUCAUAGUUCCAAGAAAUGAGAGAUGAAAAUAAAACAUAUAGGGAAGAGUAGUCUUAUGUACACAGUCUUUUGAAUGUUACCCAGACAUAUAGGGAGAGACCAUGGGCCUGGAACACUUCCUCACCAACAGAUAAAGAGCCUGCACAUGUGUGUCGAUGGUUGUUAGACACACCCUCAACUUCAGCAUUUCAGAUUCCAUGCAGCAUGAGUCGAGGUCUUUGUACUGUGGUUUUAGAGGGGUGCAUGUAUGGUAGUUGCUUUGAGUUGUGGGGGGCACCAACCAUAGGAGACCUAUGCAUGCAACAGAAACUUUUCUUGCUCUGUUUUGUGUAUGUGAGUAAAAGCACUCUUCCAUCC
rnacentral:lncRNA from 1 species